ACAGCUCAAAUUUGAAAUCUGGCCUCGGCCCGAGUUGUAAUUUGCAGAGGAUGCUUCUGGCGCGGUGCCUUCCGAGUUCCCUGGAACGGGACGCCACAGAGGGUGAGAGCCCCGUAUGGUCGGACACCAAGCCUGUGUGAAGCUCCUUCGACGAGUCGAGUAGUUUGGGAAUGCUGCUCUAAAUGGGAGGUAAAUCUCUUCUAAAGCUAAAUACCGGCCAGAGACCGAUAGCGCACAAGUAGAGUGAUCGAAAGAUGAAAAGCACCUUGAAAAGGGGGUUAAAUAGUACGUGAAAUUGUUGAAAGGGAAGCACUUAUGACCAGACUUGGGCCGGGCGGCUCAUCAGGGGUUCUCCCCUGUGCACUCCGCCCGGCACAGGCCAGCAUCGGUUCUCGUGGGGGGAUAAGACCGUCAGGAACGUAGCACCCUCCGGGGUGUGUUAUAGCCUGGCGGACGAUACCCCCGUGGGGACCGAGGUCCGCGCUCCGCAAGGAUGCUGGCGUAAUGGUCAUCAGUGACCCGUC
rnacentral:rRNA from 1 species